AACGAUCGACGCCACUUGAGAGGACCUUUAUUAGCAACAAGGCACGCGCUGCACGCCGCAUAUACAUUAUGCUAAGAAACAGAGCCUGCAGUGUCGCCCCAGUUGUUUAUACACUGUUGUGUUAACAAAGAGGGUACAUUAAUUCUAAAUGUUAACUCAUGCGUGGUUAACGCUCUGCCUUUCUACAUACAUUUAUUCUGUAUACAACCACACUUGUUAAAAGGCACCGUGUGGAGUUUUCCCCGUCAAAUGCAUGUUGCAUUGUGUUAUUGAAGCAUAUGUUACGUUAAAUGUAUUUCUUUCUUCAUAAAACAUCAGCUAAGAUGUUGUUGAAUCAUUUCAAACCUGCUUUGUGGUCGUCUACGUUGACAUCGACUAUCGGUCUUACUCCUCCGCUCUGUUUUCUGCCGCCAACUAUCGAUCAGGUUGGUGAACGUCAUCCGUUAGUCUGCGAUAAACCUUGUGUACUUUGAAGCACGAGAGAACAAAGUGAAACGGCCAACCGCCUGUUGGGUGGAAUUUCAGUCUGCGUUUGUCUGUACAGGACAGGCGGCGACCUGAAGACGGACCUUAUACAUGCAUUCUUUCUAAUCGCCAUCAGGAGGCGACACGUGUGCUUAGAUAAAGGAAGUUUGGUUGUAUUGUUUGUGUAAGUUUAUGAGAGAAUUUAUCACUUAAUUAGUGAAAUAGAGCCGUCAGUCCGUUGUGAUUGACGGGUCACUAACCCAAAAUUCAGGUCAUGAAAGUGAAGUGUAACCUCUCUGAUUGCCUAAACGUGUCUAAAUUAGCUUCCGGUUGUACAUACUGAGUAGAAGCGGGUUUAGUGGAAACUCAGAGUUUGUUAACCCUGAGAUGAGGGAACGUAAGUUCUUCAACCGCCGUUGCGGCCAAAAACCGAGAUGGCGACGAUUGUUUAGCGAUGAUAACCAAAAGCGUCCACAAUUGGCAAAGUAGUUCCAUAUGUGAUCAGGCUGAAAGUUAAAUCAGGGCUGUGCAUCACUUCUUGUUCUCCCAAGUGGGCAGCCAAUCAGCAGUCAUGUCAGUAUUGCGCCUACGCCUUUCUAAAAAUCAGGGCGGUGACU
ensembl:lncRNA